UACGGAGGAUGCAAGCGUUAUCCGGAAUUAUUGGGCGUAAAGCGUCCGCAGGUGGUUAUCCAAGUCUGCUGUUAAAGCGCGAGGCUUAACUUCGUACAGGCAGUGGAAACUGGGUAACUGGAGUAUGGUAGGGGUAGCGGGAAUUCCCAGUGUAGCGGUGAAAUGCGUAGAUAUUGGGAAGAGCACCAGCGGCGAAAGCGCGCUACUGGGCCAUUACUGACACUCAUGGACGAAAGCUAGGGGCGCGAAAGGG
rnacentral:rRNA from 1 species